AAUUUGAGUCGCCGCACCUUAUUAAUUUGGCCGUAGCAAUGUAUAUAUAAUAUAUGUCUUCUAACUAGAGUUUAAUCCUAAUUCAAUUAAAAUUACACUCCUAGUUAUAAUUCAUGUAUGCCAAAUUAUUUUUAAUCCCAAUUAGCUUAGAAUUUAACUCCAAUUUAGAUAACUAUAAAUCUAAACCAAAUAUAACAUUUUAAUUUCUUACUGAAAAUCACACUCUCCUAAUUAAAA
rnacentral:lncRNA from 1 species